rfam:Bacillus vireti LMG 21834 contig113, whole genome shotgun sequence.
AGCCCUUUUAAAUGCAGUCCCGUGAGGCUGACAAAGGGGAAAAAGCCGUUCAUUUUAUUUAGGUGCGGCAAUUUCUAACCCUCUUUGUGCCUUCAUGGUCAAAGAGGGUUUUUUUAU